rnacentral:rRNA from 1 species
UACGGAGGGUGCGAGCGUUGUCCGGAAUCACUGGGCGUAAAGGGCGCGUAGGUGGCCUGUGGAAGUCUGCGGUGAAAGCCCGGCGCUCAACGCCGGGUCGGCCGUGGAUACUCUCGGGCUCGAGCUUACUAGAGGCAGGUGGAAUUCCGGGUGUAGCGGUGGAAUGCGUAGAGAUCCGGAAGAACACCGGUGGCGAAGGCGGCCUGCUGGGCUAUGGCUGACACUGAGGCGCGACAGCGUGGGGAGCAAACAGG